GCCACCAGGGCCUGCCACCCCGCGGGGGAGCCUCCCGUCCGGCGCACGAGCCGGCCCCGCGGCGCCGCCGUCCCGCUCGGAGGCCCCGGGGGAGCNNNNNNNNNNNNNNNNNNNNNNNNNNNNNNNNNNNNNNNNNNNNNNNNNNNNNNNNNNNNNNNNNNNNNNNNNNNNNNNNNNNNNNNNNNNNNNNNNNNNGCCCGGGGCCUGACGCGGGCCGGCGGAUCCCCGGCCUCACGUACGCGCGCUCGCCGCCCGCCCUGCCUGCGCGGCCCUGCCCGCCGCCCUACGGGAGCCCGGGGAUGUGGGCCGGGCCUGGGGCCGCCUCUGCUUACCUUUCAGCUGCUUUUUUUUUUUUUUCUCCUUCCCCCCUUUUCCCUCGGCCGGGCUGACAGAUCAGAGUGAGAGGCGCUGGCAAUGGACUAGGAAGCUCGGCUGCCGCUGCUACUGCUCCCCCCUGGGCUCCGGCGAGAGCCUUUCCCUGUCAAGCAAGAGGGCCAAGAAGGCAGGGCUGCCGGGGCUGCACAAGAAGAGGCAGCAGCCUCCUACAGCACCACUACAGGCACUGCGAGGACAUAACACCAGAGAGCCGCUCCUCUGCCCUCCGAAACGACAACUUUCCUACCAUCUUGGAGGCAGAGGAAAGGGGGGCCGGGGGGAAAAGUGCACCCGCUCCCGAUAAAGUACAAAUUUCGACUUCUCCUCUCUGCAAAAAAGUCCAUACCGGCCGUCUACACUGGCGCCUGGGGGGAAGAGCUGGGAAGAAACUGGGGGUGCUUGAGAAACCUUUUCAUUUGCACCUCGGGGGGAAAAAUGUUUCUGCAUCUUCUGAUGGAAAGAAAUCUUUACAAGACACAGGUUUUCCGGUGAUUCUUGUUUUCUAUUUCCUAUGUGAUUUUUUUUUCCAGGUUGGUGGCAGGGGUAUUUUAAUUUUUUUUUCAGGCUAAUAAUGAUUCUUCAUUGCGGAUCCAAGUUCUGUGUCUGGUGGGCAGUUUAUAAAUUUGUACUUUAAGAGACUUCGCUGUAUCUUUAUUUGUCUGUUGAUAUGUUUUUACCUGCAUAUUUGCAAGUCGCUUUAUAUAUAAAAAUGUGUAUUAUAUAUUCCACUCAAAACUGAGACUGCUAGAAGACAAUUGUUAAAGGAUGUCUUUUGUCUUCUUUUCUCGAAGCUAUGUAAAUAAAACCUAUUGACUGUCCAGAAAGGCUUGAUACAGCUGUUUAUUUUUCACAGUGCCAAUGAAGGCAGAGAUCACUGAGAGAUUAAAUACAACUUAAGUAUAACUGAGCACAUUUCUGAGAAUAAUUCUAUUCUGUUAUGGUGUACCCGUGAAGAAAGCUUACUGUGAAACUGGAAACAGACUUGAAAAGUCAGCUUUAAAUUUUCUUUAGAAUUACUUAUUGAGAAAAUUUGCUUAUUAUACCCAGAUAUUUGAUUUUCUAAUCAGAUUCUUUAGGGUUUAGGUCUUUGGUGCAUCGCACGUGUUGCUGUCCACUUUCUGUAUCAGAGAAUGGAGAAAUGUGUGUUUUUGUUAGAGUUGAUUGAUACAUUGUUAGUUCAUAACUUCCAGUGUGCUGCCAGCCGGUAAUAAAUCACUGUAUAAAUCAUAUUGCAGUGGUUAUCACCGAUCUACUUUUUUUUAAUGAGCAAAGCGUGGUAGAUAAAUGGGAUCAAAGUUAGGCGAAGCUGAGGUAGCAGAGAUGAGAGAAGGGGGCCGCCCACUUGCAUCAAUUCCCAUGGACUCUUAUUGGAGGAGAACAAAUUACACAGCUUUUCCUCUACUUUGGCGAUGAAAGAAAAGAAUACCAGAAUAUGAUCACAAGGUUUUUUUGUAUGUUCUACAGGGAAUGAUGAGCUGAAUCUUGUGCUAAGAGUUAUGUUUCUGACACACGUUGGCCAACCUAGUGGGAAUGGAUUUGUGCUAUUAGUGCCUUGAAUCAGCAGAAUAUUUAAUUUCUCUCAUUUAAAGUGUAUCACAAAGCAUUUAGAAGUAACUGAUGACUCC
rnacentral:lncRNA from 1 species